rnacentral:rRNA from 1 species
CCUUUUGUAUAAUGGGUCAGCGACUUAUAUUCUGUAGCAAGGUUAACCGAAUAGGGGAGCCGAAGGGAAACCGAGUCUUAACUGGGCGUUAAGUUGCAGGGUAUAGACCCGAAACCCGGUGAUCUAGCCAUGGGCAGGUUGAAGGUUGGGUAACACUAACUGGAGGACCGAACCGACUAAUGUUGAAAAAUUAGCGGAUGACUUGUGGCUGGGGGUGAAAGGCCAAUCAAACCGGGAGAUAGCUGGUUCUCCCCGAAAGCUAUUUAGGUAGCGCCUCGUGAAUUCAUCUCCGGGGGUAGAGCACUGUUUCGGCAAGGGGGUCAUCCCGACUUACCAACCCGAUGCAAACUGCGAAUACCGGAGAAUGUUAUCACGGGAGACACACGGCGGGUGCUAACGUCCGUCGUGAAGAGGGAAACAACCCAGACCGCCAGCUAAGGUCCCAAAGUCAUGGUUAAGUGGGAAACGAUGUGGGAAGGCCCAGACAGCCAGGAUGUUGGCUUAGAAGCAGCCAUCAUUUAAAGAAAGCGUAAUAGCUCACUGGUCGAGUCGGCCUGCGCGGAAGAUGUAACGGGGCUAAACCAUGCACCGAAGCUGCGGCAGCGACACUAUGCGUUGUUGGGUAGGGGAGCGUUCUGUAAGCCUGU